rnacentral:rRNA from 1 species
GAUGAACGCUGGCGGCGUGCCUAAUACAUGCAAGUCGAGCGAACGGACGAGAAGCUUGCUUCUCUGAUGUUAGCGGCGGACGGGUGAGUAACACGUGGAUAACCUACCUAUAAGACUGGGAUAACUUCGGGAAACCGGAGCUAAUACCGGAUAAUAUUUUGAACCGCAUGGUUCAAAAGUGAAAGACGGUCUUGCUGUCACUUAUAGAUGGAUCCGCGCUGCAUUAGCUAGUUGGUAAGGUAACGGCUUACCAAGGCAACGAUGCAUAGCCGACCUGAGAGGGUGAUCGGCCACACUGGAACUGAGACACGGUCCAGACUCCUACGGGAGGCAGCAGUAGGGAAUCUUCCGCAAUGGGCGCAAGCCUGACGGAGCAACGCCGCGUGAGUAAUGAAGGUCUUCGGAUCGUAAAACUCUGUUAUUAGGGAAGAACAUAUGUGUAAGUAACUGUGCACAUCUUGACGGUACCUAAUCAGAAAGCCACGGCUAACUACGUG